rnacentral:miRNA from 1 species
GGCCGGGCUCGAAACUUUUUAGUU